GUCGAGCCGGACAGAUGGGAGCUUGCUCCCUGAUGUUAGCGGCGGACGGGUGAGUAACACGUGGGUAACCUGCCUGUAAGACUGGGAUAACUCCGGGAAACCGGGGCUAAUACCGGAUGGUUGUUUGAACCGCAUGGUUCAAACAUAAAAGGUGGCUUYGGCUACCACUUACAGAUGGACCCGCGGCGCAUUAGCUAGUUGGUGAGGUAACGGCUCACCAAGGCAACGAUGCGUAGCCGACCUGAGAGGGUGAUCGGCCACACUGGGACUGAGACACGGCCCAGACUCCUACGGGAGGCAGCAGUAGGGAAUCUUCCGCAAUGGACGAAAGUCUGACGGAGCAACGCCGCGUGAGUGAUGAAGGUUUUCGGAUCGUAAAGCUCUGUUGUUAGGGAAGAACAAGUACCGUUCGAAUAGGGCGGUACCUUGACGGUACCUAACCAGAAAGCCACGGCUAACUACGUGCCAGCAGCCGCGGUAAUACGUAGGUGGCAAGCGUUGUCCGGAAUUAUUGGGCGUAAAGGGCUCGCAGGCGGUUUCUUAAGUCUGAUGUGAAAGCCCCCGGCUCAACCGGGGAGGGUCAUUGGAAACUGGGGAACUUGAGUGCAGAAGAGGAGAGUGGAAUUCCACGUGUAGCGGUGAAAUGCGUAGAGAUGUGGAGGAACACCAGUGGCGAAGGCGACUCUCUGGUCUGUAACUGACGCUGAGGAGCGAAAGCGUGGGGAGCGAACAGGAUUAGAUACCCUGGUAGUCCACGCCGUAAACGAUGAGUGCUAAGUGUUAGGGGGUUUCCGCCCCUUAGUGCUGCAGCUAACGCAUUAAGCACUCCGGCCUGGGGAGUACGGUCGCAAGACUGAAACUCAAAGGAAUUGACGGGGGCCCGCCAAGCGGUGGAGCAUGUGUUUAAUUCGAAGCAACGCGAAGAACCUUACCAGGUCUUGACAUCYUCUGACAAUCCUAGAGAUAGGACGUCCCCUUCGGGGGCAGAGUGACAGGUGGUGCAUGGUUGUCGUCAGCUCGUGUCGUGAGAUGUUGGGUUAAGUCCCGCAACGAGCGCAACCCUUGAUCUUAGUUGCCAGCAUUCAGUUGGGCACUCUAAGGUGACUGCCGGUGACAAACCGGAGGAAGGUGGGGAUGACGUCAAAUCAUCAUGCCCCUUAUGACCUGGGCUACACACGUGCUACAAUGGACAGAACAAAGGGCAGCGAAACCGCGAGGUUAAGCCAAUCCCACAAAUCUGUUCUCAGUUCGGAUCGCAGUCUGCAACUCGACUGCGUGAAGCU
rnacentral:rRNA from 1 species